rnacentral:rRNA from 1 species
GAGGCAGCAGUGGGGAAUAUUGCACAAUGGGCGCAAGCCUGAUGCAGCCAUGCCGCGUGUAUGAAGAAGGCCUUCGGGUUGUAAAGUACUUUCAGCGAGGAGGAAGGCGUUAUAGGUUAAUAACCCUUGGCGAUUGACGUUACUCGCAGAAGAAAGCCCCGAAUCUCGCGCCG